GAUGAACGCUGGCGGCGUGCUUAACACAUGCAAGUCGAACGGUGAAGGCGGAGCUUGCUCUGCUGGAUCAGUGGCGAACGGGUGAGUAACACGUGAGCAAUCUGCCCCUGACUCUGGGAUAAGCGCUGGACACGGCGUCUAAUACUGGAUACGAGCUGCGAAGGCAUCUUCAGCAGCUGGAAAGAAUUUCGGUCAGGGAUGAGCUCGCGGCCUAUCAGCUUGUUGGUGAGGUAAUGGCUCACCAAGGCGUCGACGGGUAGCCGGCCUGAGAGGGUGACCGGCCACACUGGGACUGAGAAACGGCCCAGACUCCUACGGGAGGCAACAGUGGGGAAUAUUGCACAAUGGGCGAAAGCCUGAUGCAGCAACGCCGCGUGAGGGACGACGGCCUUCGGGUUGUAAACCUCUUUUAGCAGGGAAGAAGCGAAAGUGACGGUACCUGCAGAAAAAGCGCCGGCUAACUACGUG
rnacentral:rRNA from 1 species